UACGUAGGUGGCAAGCGUUGUCCGGAUUUACUGGGCGUAAAGAGCGCGCAGGCGGUCGUUCAAGUCGCGUGUGAAAGCCCCCGGCUCAACUGGGGAGGGUCACGCGAUACUGAUCGACUCGAAGGCAGGAGAGGGUAGUGGAAUUCCCGGUGUAGUGGUGAAAUGCGUAGAUAUCGGGAGGAACACCAGUGGCGAAGGCGACUACCUGGCCUGUUCUUGACGCUGACGGCGCGAAAGCUAGGG
rnacentral:rRNA from 1 species